GACGAACGCUGGCGGCGUGCUUAACACAUGCAAGUCGAACGGAGAAUUUUGCUUCGGUAGAAUUCUUAGUGGCGAACGGGUGAGUAACGCGUAGACAACCUACCUCUCAGAUGGGGACAACAUCGCGAAAGCGGUGCUAAUACCGAAUGAUGUAACUUUUCUGCAUGGAAGAGUUACCAAAGGCGGCCUCUAUUUAUAAGCUGUCACUGAGAGAUGGGUCUGCGUCUGAUUAGCUAGUUGGCGGGGUAAU
rnacentral:rRNA from 1 species